UCCGUGUUAUCGGUAAUUUGUAUUUGGCAAUCCGUGUCUCAUAUUUUUAUAAAUUAAUUUCCAGAAAUUUAUAAGUUCUGUUUACCUUAGAUUAGUGUUAUCUAUGUUGUCGCUGAGUUUAUAGCUUUAUCUGUACAGUCUACAAUUCAUUUGUAUACGAGAUUGACUAGUAAAUCUCUUUUUAGCGUUUUAGUGUUUUUGUCAAUUUUGACAAUUAGUGUUUUGAAAGUAUUUAUAUUCCAUAACAAAAUGAAAAUAGGAGGCGUUUUUGCGCUAUUUUUGGAAAUAACCCUCGUAUCUACACAGAACAAUGCAGAAACUGAUUUAAUACGCCCGCUUAAUGGCAUAUUUCAAUACAAGCAAUUAACGAGUCGAGAAAUUUUUCUUUGGGAUUCGGAAACCGUUCUAAUAACACAGUUGUUAUACUAUAAUGAAAAGAUGACGAAUCGAGAGAAGUUAUGUUUCAUUGGAAUUGAUCCUGCCACACCCAAGGAUUUGUUUGUUCACUUGCAAUUUGAUAAUGGAAAUACGGCCUGCAUCAAUGAGAUGGUUUACCGAGGCCGACAAAUAAUUUUGAAGACUCCGUCAACAUUUUAUUUCACAGAUUUUCAAAGCAUUGGGAUUAUUAACGACACCAGCAAUAUAGUAUCUCAAGUUUUAAUAGAUCAAAAUGCUGUGUAUUUUACAGAGGAAACAAACUAUUUGGGUCAGUUUUUAGCAUAUCCUAAAUGCUGUCCAUUAGAUGAAUAUAAUGAAGAAAAUUCAUGCAAAAAAAUGAGCGAAGAGCAACGGACCAAAGCAGAAAAUAUUCAGAUAUAUACUUUGCAUGAGACUGAAAAUAGUAGUAAAAUGAAAUAUGACAACAAUGAAAAUUUUACCUACGCCCGUAUACCAUUCUAUUCUCCUUCGUCGGAAAAUCUAUAUUCACUGGAUAGAGAUGAGUAUAUAUUAACCAAUACCUUAGAACUAUUUGUUGACAACUACAUAUGGGGACCGAUCGAGUGCAUUGAUUAUACCUAUAAUGAAAUUUCGACCACAUUGCAAGAGACUGUUUUUAUGAAGUUGCGUGAUAAUAAAUCAGUUUCGUUGAACCCGGUCACACCGAUUUUGCUAGUAUUAUUUAUAUUAAUUUUACAUGGAUCUAUUAGUAUUAAGGUGCAGUGAGAAAUAAAAUAAAUGUAAAAAUAAUAAUAGAGUUUCAGCAAAUGUGAAAUGUUUGAAUUACCGUUUGCGUCUUUAGCUUCGAGUCCUUCGGCGUCCAGGACCACAACGCUGAGCACAACGAUAGGCGGCUUUUCCUCUCCUGCCAGGUGCAACAUGCGAUAGUGUCGAUCAGGUGGCACGUCGAAUGCCUGCUGGCCAUACAAAUAAAGGUCCUCCUUGUAAUGAGCGUAUUGUCCCCCAGGCGCUGGUGCCCCUACCUGAAUUGCAAGGAAAAGUUCAAUAUCGAUAUUAUGAGGCGGGUCGGAUAGUUCCGACAACCCACGCGAAUGAGUAAGGGUCAAUUUGUGCUUUUAUGAGUACUGUCUACCACCCGCAAAGUGCUUAUUCCUAAGAGAGGAAAAGAGGAGGCGAAGCUAACGCUCACCGUGUUGGCAAUCGUGUACAACAUUUCAAUGUAGAGUUUUUCGCGCUCUGUUUGAGAGAGGCAGCAGUCAAUGGGCGUGAUGCCAAAUUCGGAUUCCAUCACGUGCGCCUCCAUCGCCGCUUUCUCUGCCAUUUUUUUAAUAGCUUGCCGUUGAUUCUCCUGCUUCCAGGAGAGUGCUGUGAAGCUCUCAAAGUACGAGCUGUCUACUUCUUGGACUCUGUUAAAGCAAUAAAAAUACAACUUUGCCGACCGUGUACCGAACCUUGUAUCAAGUGUGUCUUGCUGGCAAGAACUCACCCAGAAACCACCUGAUGAUCGAUAUCCGGCCACGAUAAACGGCGGCAGCAGAAUGUGCGUUUUAGAUGGUCGGGCGUGGCCUUUGGCGAUUUCUGUCUGAAAGACGCUGUCCGCCUCACUGGGGGUGCCGGUACGAGACUAUCCAACGUGCUGCGACGACUUUGUACAAGUGGACUGGCACCCGGGGCCGGCAAAACUUUUGGAAACCCCGGUGUGUUGCUGUCUCCAGAAGAACUGCGUACUGUAGAUGGUGUUGGUGACUCUGCUCCAGAGCCACUACCGCUGCCAGUGUCGUUUCUACUUAAAGAAAAUCUGCGUGUGUGGAAAUUGAUUCCCGGCAGAGCACCGAAUUAGAAUGAAUGAUACUACUGCUACAUUUAACCACAAAUAUCUCACAGAAACAACAGGCAACCGCACAACGUAUUCAUGAAUGAUGACAAGUUUCUUCAUAAAGUGAUCUUUCUGCUUACCUCUUGGGACUUAGAGUUAAUCCAGCGACGCUGUUGCUCACGUACUCUUGCAACGAACUAAAGAAACUCAUCUUGGUCUUUUACCUCAAACGGUUCUUGUGAAAAAUAUUAAGAAUUCUGCAACAUAAAAGAGCAAACACUAAAUGAGACUCAUUAUUGUUAAUGCGUGGUACUUGAGAAAAUUUAAUGCUCCUAUCAAAUUUUAAGAGCGUUUAAAUUUAGUUCAUGUCUCCUCGAAGACCACAUACAUCGUUGACAUGACUUUCGGUCGAACGCCAGAGCAUCGAAGCAUUAUAUCGUAUAAUAACUUUCAACAAGCUUCCCAAAGGACUCCGAGGAAGUGCGACCUUAGCAAGGCCUAUAAGCGAGAAUACACCGAGUGACAACAAUAAAAUCCCUGGAGUAGUCGCCAAAUCCGACGAGUUACGGCCGAAAUUAUGGUCAUGAAUAUAAACGAGAAUGUUAGUCACAGCGUGGAUGUAUGAAGACUUAACGUGCAUGCAAAAGAAUGAAAGAAUAUUGUUGGAAUGGGAUCGUGUAUUGAGUAUGAGGGUCCGUCGUUUGUUUGCGCCGGUCGUUUAGGACUCAUUACACACAAACACCAUUAGGCGACGGGGCAAAUGUUGCAAAAGCUAAUAUUGUAGGCACUAACGUAAAUGGAGAAUAGCGUCAGAUAAAAAUAAA